UCAGGUGAAGAACAGCACGUCGAAGUUACUCUGGUGAGCAUUGUGGCCCAUGGGCCUCUUGUUUUAAGAGAUGCUAAAAACUUUAUCUAUAAGUUCACUUUAUCCCUGUGUGUACUAAACAAGUUUUAUUAUAAAUAAGGGGCCAAUUUCCCUUGUAAAUUGUGUAUGUGAUUUCCAACUAAAAUUCCCAUACCAAAGAAAUAAUAGUUUUGAGUGUCUCUAAAAUAUCUUGUAUCUAUAGGGGGAGGAACAAGCAGUGUUAGAAGAAAAACCAGUGGUGAGUUCUGGGGUAGGAGCAGCUCUAGAGCUAGCCGUUAAGAAAGGAUACAUAGAAGAUGAAGGGAAAAAAAUGCCAUAGUAAGGAGCAAAGCUAAGCUUGACCUAGAGGUUCAGAAUUACUCUAUAGAGGACAAACGAUACGAUAAUUUGGAUGAGAAGUACAGCAGGAAGAGGGACAGAUACAGUGGAGGGGGAGGGCUGAUACAGGACUUCAAUGAGAAAGAGGGAUAUAAACCGGACGUCAAACUGGAAUACGUGGACGACGGGGGGCACCUGCUGAAUCAGAAGGAGGCCUUCAGGCAGUUGUCCCACAGGUUCCAAGGGAAAGGUUCCGGCAAAAAGAAGACAGAAAAACGAACUAAAAAACUGCAGGAGGAACAGUUGAUGAAGCAGAUGAGUUCCACAGACACGCCCCUAGGUAUGCUGAACAUGCUUAAGGAUAAGCAGAGAACAGAGAAAUCACCUUACAUCGUCCUGUCUUGCUCCAAAGGUUUCUCAUCAAAUUCCAUCAUUAAACCUAGCCAAACCUGAAGCUAUCGGAAUAUUGAGCAAUUUUUCUAGACUUUGAAUGCAGACAACAUACACGAAGGAGACAUGACCCCAAA